rnacentral:rRNA from 1 species
UGGGGAAUAUUGGACAAUGGGCGAAAGCCUGAUCCAGCCAUGCCGCGUGUGUGAAGAAGGUCUUCGGAUUGUAAAGCACUUUAAGUUGGGAGGAAGGGCAGUAAGUUAAUACCUUGCUGUUUUGACGUUACCGACAGAAUAAGCACCGGCUAACUCUGUGCCAGCAGCCGCGGUAAUACAGAGGGUGCAAGCGUUAAUCGGAAUUACUGGGCGUAAAGCGCGCGUAGGUGGUUUGUUAAGUUGGAUGUGAAAGCCCCGGGCUCAACCUGGGAACUGCAUCCAAAACUGGCAAGCUAGAGUACGGUAGAGGGUGGUGGAAUUUCCUGUGUAGCAGUGAAAUGCGUAGAUAUAGGAAGGAACACCAGUGGCGAAGGCGACCACCUGGACUGAUACUGACACUGAGGUGCGAAAGCGUGGGGAGCAAACAGG